rnacentral:rRNA from 1 species
AGCCGUAUAUUAAAGUUGUUGCAGUUAAAAAGCUCGUAGUUGGAUUUCUGGCUUGAUACGUCUGGCCCGCCGGGGUUACCCGUGUGAGUUGCCGGUUUUGUUAUCUGCCAUCCUUCUAGAAAGUGCCCUGCUAUUUAUUUAGUGGGUGUCACGAUCUAGAUCUUUUACUUUGAAGAAAUUAGAGUGUUCAAAGCAGGCUUACGCUUGAAUAUAUUAGCAUGGAAUAAUAAUCUAGGACUUUGGUUCUAUUUUGUUGGUUUCUAGGACUAAAGUAAUGAUUGAUAGGGAUAGUUGGGGGUGCUAGUAUUCAGCGGCCAGAGGUGAAAUUCUUGGAUCCGCUGAAGACUAACUUAUGCGAAAGCAUUCACCAAGGAUGUCUUCUUUAAUCAAGAACGAAAGUUGGGGGAUCGAAGACGAUCAGAUACCGUCGUAGUCUCAACCAUAAACUAUACCGACUAAGGAUGGGUAAACGUUGCAUUUUCGACUUUAUCCGCACUUUAUGAGAAAUCAAAGUCUUUGGGUUCCGGGGGGUGUAUGGUCGCAAGGCUGA